CGGACCAUGGGGAACGAAGCUCUGUGCUGGGAACUGGUAGGCCUUCCUGUGCUGGCAGAAGCUUUCCUUCGUCGCACAACCUGGACAACAAGAAACCAGAAUUAAAAUCUUCGAAGCAAAAUGCACCUACCGGUUUGGCCAUAGGCGAAAAUGCAGGCGUUGUAACCCUGAAACGCAUUGUCCAAAAUAUCGCGUCCCAGGGCGUCGAACACCACCUCUUGACUCGCGAAAUUGUCUGCAGCCGGGUCCAGGGAGUGGAAACAGUGGUCGAACGCGAAUGUUUUUGGUUUGUUCCUGCAACAAAGCGAUGGCGACCUUACGGCUCGGCUGGCUCUCAUCGACUUUUCUACUGUUUCUAUAUCGAGUAGCAUCGAUUAAAGAAAAAAUAUCCAUAUCCAUGCAGGGCGGAAUUUUCUAGUUUCUUCUAAGGGUCGAAGCAAAGUGUUUCUGUUUGGAAAUUGCCAGUUAUGCGUCCAAUUGAAUCAACAGCCUGCAGUCCAUUACACAGAGAAGUUUAAUUUAUCCAAGUGAUUCGACCUGCAUUUUACUGGUCCCUUCUGGUACGU